rnacentral:rRNA from 1 species
GGCGGCGUGCCUAACACAUGCAAGUCGUACGAGAAAGUUGGCUUCGGCCGAUGAGUAAAGUGGCGCACGGGUGAGUAAUGCGUGGAUUAAUCUGCCCUUUAGUUGGGAAUAACGUACCGAAAGGUGCGCUAAUACCUGAUAAUACUGCAUAACUACUGUUGUGUAGUCAAAGAAGGCCUCUGUUUACAAGCUUUUGCUGAAGGAUGAGUCCGCGUACCAUUAGCUGGUUGGUGGGGUAAUGGCCUACCAAGGCUACGAUGGUUAGCUGGUCUGAGAGGAUGAUCAGCCACACUGGAACUGAGACACGGUCCAGACUCCUACGGGAGGCAGCAGUGAGGAAUAUUGCGCAAUGGGGGCAACCCUGACGCAGCAACGCCGCGUGAGUGAGGAAGGUUUUCGGACCGUAAAGCUCUGUCGAGCGGGAAGAAAUGUAUCAUGGCUAAUAUCCAUGAUACUUGACGGUACCGCUAAAGGAAGCACCGGCUAACUCCGUG